rnacentral:tRNA from 1 species
GGGGGUAUAGCUCAGUGGUAGAGCAUUUGACUGCAGAUCAAAAGGUCUCAGGUUCAAAUUCUGUUGCCCCCU